UAGUCCACGCCGUAAACGAUGGAUACUAGCUGUACGGACUUCGGUCUGUGUGGCCAAGCGAAAGUGAUAAGUAUCCCACCUGGGGAGUACGUUCGCAAGAAUGAAACUCAAAGGAAUUGACGGGGGCCCGCACAAGCGGUGGAGCAUGUGGUUUAAUUCGAUGAUACGCGAGGAACCUUACCAGGGCUUAAAUGCAUAUUGACAGGGGUGGAAACACCUUUUCCUUCGGGCAAUUUGCAAGGUGCUGCAUGGUUGUCGUCAGCUCGUGCCGUGAGGUGUCAGGUUAAGUCCUAUAACGAGCGCAACCCCUGUGGUCAGUUGCCAGCGAGUAAUGUCGGGAACUCUGGCCAGACUGCCGGUGCAAACCGCGAGGAAGGUGGGGAUGACGUCAAAUCAUCACGGCCCUUACGUCCUGGGCCACACACGUGCUACAAUGGCCGGUACAGAGAGCAGCCACGUCGCAAGGCGGAGCGAAUCUAUAAAACCGGUCUCAGUUCGGAUCGGGGUCUGCAAC
rnacentral:rRNA from 1 species